AUGAGCUGUGCUUGGGUUUCUUUCAAUCCUGUGCAGGCAGACAGAGUGGAGCACGAGAUGCCAGUAAGAGACCUGUGUUUUCAGGCCUAUAACACCGCGGACCUGGAGCGGAGAUCCGAUCCAAUGAUUAUGCAAACCACCGGGCAUUUUGAAUACUGUGCAAAGGAGAAAAUGACACAACAGAUUUAUUUUUGUAAUUCACAUGAGGAAAUUGUAUACUUUUAUUCAUGGAGGUUCGGUUUUUUCCUUCAAAGCUAUGGUCAACAGCGUCGUGAGACGUACGAAUGGUUUGAAUUACAAUGUGCACAAUGCCCCGUUUUUGUGUACCGGCAAUUUUAAGCACAGCGUCUGGUGUGAACAUGCUUCUUGAACGUGCACCUCUGGAAUAACACUAGAACACAUUUUAAAACAUUUUGUAGUAGACAGGGACCUCUUUAAAAAUGGGUGUAAUUUCACUGUGCUGUUACUGCCAAAUACCACAAUUAUGCUACGUUUUUGCCUUUUACAAUGACGCGCUACAUGAUGAAUUCUAAGAGCCAGACAUGGCUCAGUCGAAUUCACACUAUGGACGGGAUAGUGUCUUGAAAGGAAUCUUCGACAGCCAGAACGGAGCUGUAAAAAUCAUGAUCUUUUUUAAUCUUGCUCUUAAUUCUUACGUUCAGUUCACUCCGUUUUUUUAUUACACUUCUGAACUUGCAUUUCCAAUGAAUUCCUUCUGUAUUCUUUAUUCCAUCGGUACGAUCGUCAUUAGAGCUUCAGUAGAAGGGAAACGAUAUUUAUUUACUAAUCUGUCCUUUGCUGUUUUUUUUACUGUUAUAUGUUUUAAGUAACUUUAAUGAAACUUUUAAUAAGCCUGUAUGUAAUUUGCACCCUGGUGUUGAGGAGGCUUGAGGAGACGUCCACUUUGGCCUCAGGUGAAGUGGGCUGUUUGUCCAGGACCAGCACAAAGGCUUUGCUUCUCCAGGCUAAACAAGCAGUCGGUGUAGAGGCAGCCAGAGCCAGUCAGCUCUCCACAUUCUUAUGGAAAUGGGUUCCCACAGGAAAAGUCAUUUGAGGUGCUAGAUGUCAAGUCAAGUGAUUGUUAGAGUCCUUCCAGAUGGAUACGGAGAUCCGCUAACAGGUCUGAACAAUGGAGCGCGACGCUCCACUUGAGACCGACACUUUGCUCUUGAAGGUCACAUCCUAGGCGCUGUAAUCUUACUGCUCUGAAGGACACCUGUACAUUGGGAUAUUUGCUCGCUAUGUGGUUUAGCUCUUUUUUUUUUUUUUUAAAAAGUAACUAUUGAUCUAUGUAAAUGCGUAAUUUGCCACAAUAAUGUUUUUUAGGUCAUCACUUGCAAAUCUGAAUUUUCUACUUUUCAUUCAUUCCCAAAAAUAUUGUGUGUUCAAGUGUAAUAACAGCCAAUAUAAUAAUGUCUUUGCAAUAUGCCAAACAGUAGUUCAUCUAUUUAUAAAAUAUUAUUGCUGCUGUUAUAUUUCUAAUUUAGUGUACAUUACAAGGUAUACUGUAGAAUUAUCUCUAUUUUAGAACACACUGUAGAAUAUAUUAAUAAAAUUGCACUUAUGAAAGUGGCA
ensembl:lncRNA